rnacentral:rRNA from 1 species
GGGAAACACCGGGAAACCGGUGCUAAUACCGAAUAUUGAAACAUAAGUGGCAUCACUGAGUUUUGAAAGAAUUUCGGUGGAGGAUGACUUCGCGGCCUAUCAGCUAGUUGGUGAGGUAAUGGCUCACCAAGGCAACGACGGGUAGCCGGCCUGAGAGGGCGACCGGCCACACUGGGACUGAGACACGGCCCAGACUCCUACGGGAGGCAGCAGUGGGGAAUAUUGGGCAAUGGAGGAAACUCUGACCCAGCGACGCCGCGUGCGGGAUGAAGGCCUUCGGGUUGUAAACCGCUUUCAGUAGGGAAGAAGCGAAAGUGACGGUACCUACAAAAGAAGCACCGGCUAACUAUGUGCCAGCAGCCGCGGUAAUACAUAGGGUGCAAGCGUUGUCCGGAAUUAUUGGGCGUAAAGAGCUCGUAGGUCGUUUGUUACGUCGGAUGUGAAAACCUGAGGCUCAACCUCAGGCCUGCAUUCGAUACGGGCAAACUAGAGUUUGGUAGGGGAGACUGGAAUUCCUGGUGUAGCGGUGGAAUGCGCAGAUAUCAGGAGGAACACCAAUGGCGAAGGCAGGUCUCUGGGCCAAUACUGACACUGAGGAGCGAAAGUCUGGGGAGCGAACAGGAUUAGAUACCCUGGUAGUCCAGACCGUAAACGGUGGGCACUAGUUGUGGGAACCUUCCACGGUUUCUGCGACGCAGCUAACGCAUUAAGUGCCCCGCCUGGGGAGUACGAUCGCAAGAUUAAAACUCAAAGGAAUUGACGGGGCCCCGCACAAGCAGCGGAGCAUGCGGCUUAAUUCGACGCAACGCGAAGAAC